rnacentral:rRNA from 1 species
UUCCGUAGGUGAACCUGCGGAAGGAUCAUUAACGUAUAAAAUACUUAUACUAAUGUAUUGAAAAUUUAAAAGUGCGAAAGCACACAAAUAAAUCACAAAGUCAGAUAUAUGAAAAUUAGUACUUGACGCGUGGUAACCUGGCGAAGCAAUAAUUUUUGUUAUUGUUUCAGAGGGACUUAAAAAUCCCAAGGUUUUGCAAUGAUAAUCGCCACAUAAUAGUUGAUGGAACAUUUUCAUAUAUACAUAUAUGGACUUUAACUCUUUUAAACUUUAACUGCCGUAGAUUCUUGUGCCGUGAUUGUAUGGACCAGCUUUAAUUGUGUACGGCAAAUUGGAGACAAGACCAAUAAAUAUAAAAGAUAUAUUUUGUCUCUGGUUAUGCGUCUUGGUCAUUUGUCUUUUUAAUUGAAGUAAAUGAUAGCAAGAUUGCGAGAUUGCUUGUUAGUUGCCAUUUCGGUGACUUUCAACGACUAAAAAACCAAAAUUUAUAUUCUGUUAAGAAAUGAUUACCCUGAACGGUGGAUCACUUGGCUCGUGGGUCGAUGAAGAACGCAGCUAAUUGCGCGUCAACUUGUGAACUGCAGGACACAUGAACAUCGACAUUUCGAACGCACAUUGCGGUCCACGGAUCUAAUUCCCGGACCACGCCUGGCUGAGGGUCGUUUAUUAUUGAAAAACUGCUUACAUAUUGUCUCCCUGUGACAAAUAUACGUCUCCAUUAUUAUUCAAUAAUUGGAGAAGCACAGAUUGAAAAUAUAAAAGAGAUCCAUAUGUACAAGCGAAUACUCUAAAAGUUGAGUGCUCGUCAUUUUUCAACAAAAAUGGCGUCAUUUCAAAUCAAAUGAAAGCUGAAUUCAAAAAAUUAUCACAAUUGUUUGUUUCAGUCUUUCUUUUUGAAUGGGAAGAAGCGAAGUAUACACAUCUCGCCCAUUUGUUGUCUUGAUAUUGUAUCAUUUCUCUAUAUGUGAGAUCUUUAUCAAAUAUCGAGUCCAUGAGCUUUGAUAAUAACAUAUGCAAAAGGACAGAUAUAGUUGAAAAUGAUUACACGUGAAAUAUUACAUCUUGACACAAAUGUGAUAAGGCAAAAAUGAUGAAAUGUGUUGCUCCUUAUUUUUCCCUCUCAAAUAAUAUUCAAAUGACGACCUCAGAGCAGGUGAGAGUACCCGCUGAAUUUAAGCAUAUCAAUAAGCGGAGGAC